rnacentral:rRNA from 1 species
UGGGAAUAUUAGUAAUGGGCGAAAGCCUGAACUAGCGACACCGCGUGUGCGAAGAAGGCCUUCGGGUUGUAAAGCACUUUUAGAGAGGAUGAGGAAGGACGGUACUCUCUGAAUAAGUCUCGGCUAACUACGUGCCAGCAGCCGCGGUAACACGUAGGAGGCAAACGUUAUCCGGAUUUGCUGGGCGUAAAGCGCGUGUAGGUGGUUCUGUAAGUAGGGCGUGAAAGCUCCAGGCUCAACUGGGAGAGGCCGUUCUAAACUGCAGAGCUAGAGGAUGGUAGAGGGAGGUGGAAUUCCGGGUGUAGCGGUGAAAUGCGCAGAUAUCCGGAGGAACACCAGUGGCGAAGGCGACCUCCUGGGCCACUCCUGACACUCAGACGCGAAAGCUAGGGUAGCAAACGG